AGCCAUAACCAAUAGUGGGUUCUAAGUCUACAAUAAAAACCCAAAACCAGCAAACAUUUGUCCUCGCCAAGAAAGAAACCCUAAAUCUAUGCCCUCAAAUGAAAUCAAAUAAACACUGAACAACAAAGAACGGGGAAACACUCGGAUACUAAAACCAUUUUUUUGGGGAAGCCAUGAAAAGGGUUUUGUUCAGAGGCAUUUCGCUCUCUACUCACAAUUUUCUUCACUCUUAUACCAAAACCAGCCAAAACCCAGUUCACUCGUUCACCCCACUCGCCGCUUCAACUCGGUCUCGACUCAGGUUGUACUCAUCCGAAUCAGAUUCUCCCGUUGAAAAGAAGCCUGACCCUGGUAUAGAAUCUGCUUCAGUAGCGGAAGCCCAUGUCGAGGAUGUUGCUUUGCCUGUUGUGGAUAUAAGUGAUAAAGAGCUGGAAGCCCGAAUCAAGAAAUACUCAGAAGGGAAUCUAGAGGCAAUCCUUCCAGUUCUUCACGCCAUUUUGCAGAGAAUGUUGGCUGGGAAGCAUGACGAGGCUGAUGAAUUGCGGAGAAAGCUGAAAACCCAUGGUUUUUGCAGAAAAUAAGUCUCAUUCUCGGGUAAGAUUUUUUAGUUCGAGCUCGAUACGAAUUUACAAUCUUUUUAUAUAAAGAAUGAGUUCCUGGUAAAAAGUUUGCAUUUCUUGUUAUUAGUAAAAUUCAAUUUUCAUUUAUUUAAUCUCCAAUUUCAUUUGUGAUUCGUUUUGAUUUUGUUGAUUUAAAUUUAUCAAAUAUUAUUUUCUUCAUUUAUGUUAUUCAUCUUUUAAUGGAAAAUUUUCAAUUUUGAUUUAUUUAAUAUCCAAUUGCAGUUUAGAAUGUCAUUUGUUUUGGUUUGGUUAUUUUAGAUUUGUCAAAUAUUUUGUUUAUAUUUGGGUACUAUUACAAGUUUAGAAAUUAAGUGAGGUGAUGUAAUAAUUAGGACUCAAACCUACUAACAUAAUUUUUCAAGUUCAGACCUAACAAUCAAGUCUAAAAUUUUGUUACGGUCUAGUUUAAUACAUCGACAAUUCUACUUUGAAUUAAGAAAGCCCAUAAUUAAAAAUUUCAGGAAUUCAAUCUUUAUAUAAAAAUUCAGGGUCCUAUUCGAAUUUUAAAAUUGGAUACACAAAUAAGAAAUUAGAUCAAAAGAAGGAAGCAUAUGAUACGAUAUGACACAAAAUUCCUGUUUUUUUAACAGUAAAUCGGUAAACUUGUGGUCUUUUCUUACAAUCUCAAUCUAGUUGUGUCGAAGAAACAAAGCUUAUUAUCAGAUAGAACCAGCGUUGCCGAAAAAUGGCUCUCGUCGAUGCCUGAUGACUUUUAAGCCGCGCCCUCUCUUUUUCUUCUUCCUUUCCUUCUCUUUCUCGCCUCACAGUUGCUCUCCUCAACAAAACCCCAGUUUUAUUCCCGAAGCAACCAAAAUCCUGACCUGAACCAAGACAUCCGGAUAGGACGGAAGCCUUAUGAAGUUAUGGUGGUAGACAGGAAGUUCGUAUACAAGCAAACUGGGAAGCCUGUCCAUACUCUUGAAGAAACUGGCGGUGCUAAGUGGUUUUUUGUCCUCAGUACAUAGAAGAUCUUGUACGUUGGUGUGAAGAAAAAGGGUACAUUUCAAAAUUCGAGUUUCUUGGCAGGUGGUGCUACCAUUGCUGCUGGAAGAUUAGUUGUUGACAAUGGCGUCCUUAAGGCAGUUUGGCCACACAGUGGACAUUACCGUCCAUUAGAAGAAAACUUUAAUGAAAGCUUUAACAACUUCAUUUCAUUUCUGAGGGAGAACAAUGUAGGUCUUAACAAUGUCAAGAUGACUCCGGUGGAUGAGGAAGGAAACUUGGCUGGCAAGCAAAGAAGCAGUAACCGACUUAGAUGUAACUCGUCUGAAUAUGACUUUUAACUUCAAGGCUGAGGAGAUCAAUGUCAAAGACUCGAUUGAUCAAAUGCGAUAGUUGAUUCAUGGGGAACAUGAAGCCAAGUCAAGGAGGUUCCACAGCCUUAGCUGAAAACAAUGUAGCUUUUGUGCCUAUUUGUAAUAAAGAUAAUUCAAGGGGUUCAUCUUUGGUGGAUGGUUAUGCAAUACAGGAGGAAACCGUUAGUUCGGAACUGGAUUGUUAUGAAAAUCAUGGAGAUAAUGAUGUGGAAGACCCUUCCUGUUCCUGAUGAAUUGAUUCUUCAAAGGGGUAACUCUAAAAGAGUAUCCACAUGCAAGUGGACUACAGGGGCAGCGCAACAGAUCCCAGAUUGGUUGUACGAAGAAAAACCCCCGAAACUCCAAUUCUGUGUUUGGGAGUAACUGAAGAAAUGAGAACCUUGAAUUCAUCUGUGCUCAAGACGAAAAUUUUGUGAAAGAGACGCAUCCAUUCCUAGAGUGCAGUAUUAUAAAGGAACACUUGCAGCCACAAGUACAUUCUCUGUUAGUUCAUUCUUUGGGAUGAAUAGAAAAGAUGAUAUAGGACUUGCUUUAUCAUUCUUUUAAAAAACCAGAUCUCUGUACACAUUAAAAAAAAAUCAUCUUGGACCAUACUCUUGUACAAAAUUUGUUUAACUAUUUGAAUACAAUUGGUCAGGCAUUGAAAUGCAACAUUAUGGUACAUGUAAAAGGAAUUCAUAAAGAGAAUUUUGGGUUGCUUUUAAAAAAAAA